UUAAGCGACUAAGCGUACACGGUGGAUGCCCUGGCAGUCAGAGGCGAUGAAGGACGUGCUAAUCUGCGAUAAGCGUCGGUAAGGUGAUAUGAACCGUUAUAACCGGCGAUUUCCGAAUGGGGAAACCCAGUGUGUUUCGACACACUAUCAUUAACUGAAUCCAUAGGUUAAUGAGGCGAACCGGGGGAACUGAAACAUCUAAGUACCCCGAGGAAAAGAAAUCAACCGAGAUUCCCCCAGUAGCGGCGAGCGAACGGGGAGCAGCCCAGAGCCUGAAUCAGUGUGUGUGUUAGUGGAAGCGUCUGGAAAGGCGCGCGAUACAGGGUGACAGCCCCGUACACAAAAAUGCACAUGCUGUGAGCUCGAUGAGUAGGGCGGGACACGUGGUAUCCUGUCUGAAUAUGGGGGGACCAUCCUCCAAGGCUAAAUACUCCUGACUGACCGAUAGUGAACCAGUACCGUGAGGGAAAGGCGAAAAGAACCCCGGCGAGGGGAGUGAAAAAGAACCUGAAACCGUGUACGUACAAGCAGUGGGAGCACGCUUAGGCGUGUGACUGCGUACCUUUUGUAUAAUGGGUCAGCGACUUAUAUUCUGUAGCAAGGUUAACCGAAUAGGGGAGCCGAAGGGAAACCGAGUCUUAACUGGGCGUUAAGUUGCAGGGUAUAGACCCGAAACCCGGUGAUCUAGCCAUGGGCAGGUUGAAGGUUGGGUAACACUAACUGGAGGACCGAACCGACUAAUGUUGAAAAAUUAGCGGAUGACUUGUGGCUGGGGGUGAAAGGCCAAUCAAACCGGGAGAUAGCUGGUUCUCCCCGAAAGCUAUUUAGGUAGCGCCUCGUGAAUUCAUCUCCGGGGGUAGAGCACUGUUUCGGCAAGGGGGUCAUCCCGACUUACCAACCCGAUGCAAACUGCGAAUACCGGAGAAUGUUAUCACGGGAGACACACGGCGGGUGCUAACGUCCGUCGUGAAGAGGGAAACAACCCAGACCGCCAGCUAAGGUCCCAAAGUCAUGGUUAAGUGGGAAACGAUGUGGGAAGGCCCAGACAGCCAGGAUGUUGGCUUAGAAGCAGCCAUCAUUUAAAGAAAGCGUAAUAGCUCACUGGUCGAGUCGGCCUGCGCGGAAGAUGUAACGGGGCUAAACCAUGCACCGAAGCUGCGGCAGCGACACUAUGUGUUGUUGGGUAGGGGAGCGUUCUGUAAGCCUGUGAAGGUGUGCUGUGAGGCAUGCUGGAGGUAUCAGAAGUGCGAAUGCUGACAUAAGUAACGAUAAAGCGGGUGAAAAGCCCGCUCGCCGGAAGACCAAGGGUUCCUGUCCAACGUUAAUCGGGGCAGGGUGAGUCGACCCCUAAGGCGAGGCCGAAAGGCGUAGUCGAUGGGAAACAGGUUAAUAUUCCUGUACUUGGUGUUACUGCGAAGGGGGGACGGAGAAGGCUAUGUUGGCCGGGCGACGGUUGUCCCGGUUUAAGCGUGUAGGCUGGUUUUCCAGGCAAAUCCGGAAAAUCAAGGCUGAGGCGUGAUGACGAGGCACUACGGUGCUGAAGCAACAAAUGCCCUGCUUCCAGGAAAAGCCUCUAAGCAUCAGGUAACAUCAAAUCGUACCCCAAACCGACACAGGUGGUCAGGUAGAGAAUACCAAGGCGCUUGAGAGAACUCGGGUGAAGGAACUAGGCAAAAUGGUGCCGUAACUUCGGGAGAAGGCACGCUGAUAUGUAGGUGAAGUCCCUCGCGGAUGGAGCUGAAAUCAGUCGAAGAUACCAGCUGGCUGCAACUGUUUAUUAAAAACACAGCACUGUGCAAACACGAAAGUGGACGUAUACGGUGUGACGCCUGCCCGGUGCCGGAAGGUUAAUUGAUGGGGUUAGCCGCAAGGCGAAGCUCUUGAUCGAAGCCCCGGUAAACGGCGGCCGUAACUAUAACGGUCCUAAGGUAGCGAAAUUCCUUGUCGGGU
rnacentral:rRNA from 1 species